rnacentral:rRNA from 1 species
AGGAUUAGAUACCCUGGUAGUCCACGCCCUAAACGAUGUCAACUAGUUGUUGGGGAUUCAUUUCCUUAGUAACGUAGCUAACGCGUGAAGUUGACCGCCUGGGGAGUACGGUCGCAAGAUUAAAACUCAAAGGAAUUGACGGGGACCCGCACAAGCGGUGGAUGAUGUGGAUUAAUUCGAUGCAACGCGAAAAACCUUACCUACCCUUGACAUGGUCGGAAUCCCGCUGAGAGGUGGGAGUGCUCGAAAGAGAACCGGCGCACAGGUGCUGCAUGGCUGUCGUCAGCUCGUGUCGUGAGAUGUUGGGUUAAGUCCCGCAACGAGCGCAACCCUUGUCC